GGCGGCGUGCCUAAUACAUGCAAGUCGAGCGGACAGAUGGGAGCUUGCUCCCUGAUGUUAGCGGCGGACGGGUGAGUAACACGUGGGUAACCUGCCUGUAAGACUGGGAUAACUCCGGGAAACCGGGGCUAAUACCGGAUGGUUGUUUGAACCGCAUGGUUCAAACAUAAAAGGUGGCUUCGGCUACCACUUACAGAUGGACCCGCGGCGCAUUAGCUAGUUGGUGAGGUAACGGCUCACCAAGGCAACGAUGCGUAGCCGACCUGAGAGGGUGAUCGGCCACACUGGGACUGAGACACGGCCCAGACUCCUACGGGAGGCAGCAGUAGGGAAUCUUCCGCAAUGGACGAAAGUCUGACGGAGCAACGCCGCGUGAGUGAUGAAGGUUCGGAUCGUAAAGCUCUGUUGUUAGGGAAGAACAAGUACCGUUCGAAUAGGGCGGUACCUUGACGGUACCUAACCAGAAAGCCACGGCUAACUACGUGCCAGCAGCCGCGGUAAUACGUAGGUGGCAAGCGUUGUCCGGAAUUAUUGGGCGUAAAGGGCUCGCAGGCGGUUUCUUAAGUCUGAUGUGAAAGCCCCCGGCUCAACCGGGGAGGGUCAUUGGAAACUGGGGAACUUGAGUGCAGAAGAGGAGAGUGGAAUUCCACGUGUAGCGGUGAAAUGCGUAGAGAUGUGGAGGAACACCAGUGGCGAAGGCGACUCUCUGGUCUGUAACUGACGCUGAGGAGCGAAAGCGUGGGGAGCGAACAGGAUUAGAUACCCUGGUAGUCCACGCCGUAAACGAUGAGUGCUAAGUGUUAGGGGGUUUCCGCCCCUUAGUGCUGCAGCUAACGCAUUAAGCACUCCGCCUGGGGAGUACGGUCGCAAGACUGAAACUCAAAGGAAUUGACGGGGGCCCGCACAAGCGGUGGAGCAUGUGGUUUAUUCGAAGCAACGCGAAGAACCUUACCAGGUCUUGACAUCCUCUGACAAUCCUAGAGAUAGGACGUCCCCUUCGGGGGCAGAGUGACAGGUGGUGCAUGGUUGUCGUCAGCUCGUGUCGUGAGAUGUUGGGUUAAGUCCCGCAACGAGCGCAACCCUUGAUCUUAGUUGCCAGCAUUCAGUUGGGCACUCUAAGGUGACUGCCGGUGACAAACCGGAGGAAGGUGGGGAUGACGUCAAAUCAUCAUGCCCCUUAUGACCUGGGCUACACACGUGCUACAAUGGACAGAACAAAGGGCAGCGAAACCGCGAGGUUAAGCCAAUCCCACAAAUCUGUUCUCAGUUCGGAUCGCAGUCUGCAACUCGACUGCGUGAAGCUGGAAUCGCUAGUAAUCGCGGGUACAGCAUGCCGCGGGUGAAUACGUUCCCGGGCCUUGUACACACCGCCCCGUCAC
rnacentral:rRNA from 1 species